AGCCUUUGGGUCAAGAUGACAGCACAAGAUACAGGAGUCUGGCGGUCCACUGGUGGCUUUGCAGUAUUUUUUGGUCCCAAUUUAAUUUCAUGGAGUGCAAGAAAACAAGCAACUGUCUCUCGAUCCAGUACAGAGGCAGAAUACAAAGCAUUGGCAAAUGCAACAGUUGAGAUCAUAUGGGUGCAAUCACUGCCGAAGGAACUUGGUGUAAAAAGUACUCAAGCUCCAUGUUUAUGGUGUGAUAAUCUGGGUGCCACAUACCUAUCUGCCAAUCCAGUCUUUCAUGCCAGAAUUAAACACAUUGAAAUUGAUUUUCACUUUGUCAGAGAACGAGUGGCUCAGAAGAAACUUGACAUACGUUUUGUGCAUUCCAAG
rnacentral:rRNA from 1 species